rnacentral:rRNA from 1 species
CGCAUGGUAGGAGAGCGUUCCGUAAGCCUGCGAAGGUGCCUUGUAAAGGGUGCUGGAGGUAUCGGAAGUGCGAAUGCUGACAUGAGUAGCGAUAAAGGGGGUGAAAGGCCCCCUCGCCGUAAGCCCAAGGUUUCCUACGCAACGUUCAUCGGCGUAGGGUGAGUCGGCCCCUAAGGCGAGGCAGAAAUGCGUAGCUGAUGGGAAGCAGGUCAAUAUUCCUGCACCGUCGUUAGAUGCGAUGGGGGGACGGAUCGCGGAAGGUUGUCCGGGUGUUGGACGUCCCGGUCGCUGCAUUGGAGAAGGCGCUUAGGCAAAUCCGGGCGCGGAAUUCAAGGGUGUGGCGCGAGCGACUUCGGUCGCGAAGCAAUUGGAAGUGGUUCCAAGAAAAGCCUCUAAGCUUCAGUCUAACGAUGACCGUACCGCAAACCGACACAGGUGGGCGAGAUGAGUAUUCUAAGGCGCUUGAGAGAACUCGGGAGAAGGAACUCGGCAAAUUGGUACCGUAACUUCGGGAUAAGGUACGCCCUUGUAGCUUGACCAGCCUGCGCUGGAAGGGUGAAGGGGUUGCAAUAAACUGGUGGCUGCGACUGUUUAAUAAAAACACAGCACUCUGCAAACACGAAAGUGGACGUAUAGGGUGUGACGCCUGCCCGGUGCCGGAAGAUUAAAUGAUGGGGUGCAAGCUCUUGAUUGAAGUCCCGGUAAACGGCGGCCGUAACUAUAACGGUCCUAAGGUAGCGAAAUUCCUUGUCGGGUAAGUUCCGACCUGCACGAAUGGCGUAACGAUGGCCACACUGUCUCCUCCCGAGACUCAGCGAAGUUGAAGUGUUUGUGAUGAUGCAAUCUACCCGCGGCUAGACGGAAAGACCCCAUGAACCUUUACUGUAGCUUUGCAUUGGACUUUGAACCGAUCUGUGUAGGAUAGGUGGGAGGCUAUGAAACCGGAACGCUAGUUUCGGUGGAGCCGUCCUUGAAAUACCACCCUGGUUUGUUUGAGGUUCUAACCUUGGUCCGUGAUCCGGAUCGGGGACAGUGCAUGGUAGGCAGUUUGACUGGGGCGGUCUCCUCCCAAAGGGUAACGGAGGAGUACGAAGGUACGCUAGGUACGGUCGGAAAUCGUGCUGAUAGUGCAAUGGCAUAAGCGUGCUUAACUGCGAGACCGACAAGUCGAGCAGGUGCGAAAGCAGGUCAUAGUGAUCCGGUGGUUCUGUAUGGAAGGGCCAUCGCUCAACGGAUAAAAGGUACUCUGGGGAUAACAGGCUGAUACCGCCCAAGAGUUCAUAUCGACGGCGGUGUUUGGCACCUCGAUGUCGGCUCAUCUCAUCCUGGGGCUGUAGCCGGUCCCAAGGGUAUGGCUGUUCGCCAUUUAAAGAGGUACGUGAGCUGGGUUUAAAACGUCGUGAGACAGUUUGGUCCCUAUCUGCCGUGGGCGUUGGAUAUUUGAAGGGGGCUGCUCCUAGUACGAGAGGACCGGAGUGGACGAACCUCUGGUGUACCGGUUGUGACGCCAGUCGCAUCGCCGGGUAGCUAUGUUCGGAAGAGAUAACCGCUGAAAGCAUCUAAGCGGGAAACUCGCCUUAAGAUGAGAUAUCCCUGGAGGCUUGACCUCCUUGAAGGGUCGUUCGAGACCAGGACGUUGAUAGGUCGGGUGUGUAAGCGCAGUAAUGCGUUCAGCUAACCGAUACUAAUUGCCCGUAAGGCUUGAUCCU